GUUUCCCGUUCCGACUUCCCCCACAACUACCGAACGCAGGUGAUAUAGAAGGGAGGAUCGAGCGGCGACUGAACCAUCUCCGCGAAAAAUUUGGGGAAUCAUCGCUACAACCUCAAAUUGUCGCAGUGGGCACGAGCAACUCAACAAAAGCAACGAUGGUUAUUUUU